AUUUACCGUAUUGCGAGCAAACCACGUUUAGAGGAUGUUAUAGCCCCGCCAACACAUUGCUCUAUUCUCGUUAAAUGACUUCUUGCAUCCGAUUCUACCUGCUUUAUUGCAGAUCAAAACACGAGUUCAGCUUUAAGUAGCUCCUUGAGAGCAGAGGCCCAAGUUUCUGUCCCAGUGUCUGGCAUCUUACGUGCUGUUUUGUUGAAAUAGUGAAGUGGGAAACCCAGAAACAGCGUGUAGGUGGCCCGAAGUCCACGGUUAGUAUUUGCAUGUUGGCCAUUUCCAAGUUACACCAGAAGAGUUAGAGAUUCAUGUUACCCUACCAAAAUUAUUCCGUAAUACCAAGAUAUGAAUUUGUUUAGUGUAGAUACGGGGAUAGAGUGACUAUGAGAUACCGUGGGUAGGUGCUCAACAAUUAUGCAUAUGCCCAUUUAUAGAAUUUACCUGCCAGGCACCGUUCUAGGCAUUUUACUUCUCUCAAAUCACUUAAUCCUCAAUACAAGCAUCUCACCCUGUUCCACGGAUGAGAGAACUGAAGCAUAAAGAGGUUCAGCCAAGGUCAUGUACCGGUAGCAGAGUCAAACGUCUGGCUCUUGACCUUGGCUCAGGUCGUGAUCUCACGGCUGGUGGGUCUGAGCCCCACAGCGGCACAGAAUCUGCUUGAAAUUCUCUCCCACUUUCUCUGCCUCUCCCCUGCUCAUGGGUUCUAUCUCCCUCUCAAAGUAAAUAAACUAAAAAAAAUAAAAAUAAAAAAAAUAAAUAAAGGAAUGCAGGCAGCCUGAAGCCAGAGUUGGUAGUCUUAAUACUAAAUAUUCCUUCCACUGCUAGACUCAACUAAGAAAGCAGGGGGGUUACAAGUCUGUGAAGGUAUUUGUGAAAUAUGUAAGAUUAAAGGGCUUUAGUGCCCAAAUUAAGGACUUGAAAUUUGGUAAGGUUGCAAUUUGAAUGAAUUCACACGAAGCAAUCGUUAGGUAACUGGAGCUACCUGCCAGGACCCCAUUGGUAUCCCCUCUUUGAAGGCUGUGUGUCCGGUGUAGAUGAUUCGAGAAGUUUCCUAGACUGUCAUCAUCAGAUAUCUCAAGGAGGAGGUGCUUUAGUGUUCCUGGAAGCAGAUGAGCCGGAAAAUACACACAUUGCAGACAUGCCCUCAGAGAGAAGCUUUUUUGUUUGUUUUGUUCUAAAUCUCUUCUCUUGAACUCGGCCUUGACCUCCAGCUGAAAUGAGAUGCGGCAGCUUUUAAAAAGUCAUUGGGAGUCUUGGAUUCAGCUCCGUGGUGGCAGAUUUUGGAGACCCUGGAAUAAAGAUAGUAAAGCAGGCAUGGUGGGAAUCUUUGGAACAGAGGAGCCCCUGGAGACAGUCUCGGCCUGAGGUCACUGGGGCGCAAUGUACCCGCUCCACAAAGUAAUUAUUCUACGGGCGAUUUCUUCAAAAAGUGAUUAACACUCGACUCUGUCGUGAUGCCACAGUCACUACAGACAAUAACUUUAAGAGGCUGAUCUUCCACUAAUGAAAUCCUGUGUUUACUUUGAGGUCACAUAGGUGACUCAGAGCCUGCGCGGCUUCACACAUUCAGCAUAUGCUUCGACACCUAGUUGUUAACGGAUCACGGCUAGCUUGUGUAUCCCCUCCAACGUUACAUCGUAAGCUCUCAUCAGGACAGUUCGGUGAAAAUAGGGAAAUUGAAGUCCAUCGUGUGUGAGAUCCUACGUAGUCCCUACUAAAUCUAGCUGACGGCAGUUGUCUUAAGUGGCGGCAACUUUCUCAUUACGGUGCCUUCUUAACCGCUAAGAGGGUCCACGCUUUCCUUAAUCUGUGUUUACAAGCUUGUCAAGAGGGGCACGGAAAGCAAGGUGCGCGAGGGGGCGUGGCUGAGUGUGAGCUAACGCGUCAAAGACACCUUGAAGAUACCCUCGGCCCAGUACCAUGUGCCCGUUAUCACAACACACGAAAGCUGGAAACCUUCUCACCGGAGCUCUACUGGUGACCCCCAGGGGGAACUGUGAUUCAUCUAUUCCAGGCGUGUAAACGUUCACACACUUAGAAAACUCCGAGGCAGGGAGAUUCAGCCUUCCGUAGGAGCUCAUUUCACUGUUUUGAAAGACCGAGGGAAUGAAUCUCUUCCUUCAACCUAAAUCCAUCGUGGGGCUGCGUGUGCCGAUUCCCCAGAAGAGCCGGAGAACAUCUGGUGACCGCAUCUGCGUGAAAACCCUUUCCGUCCUCCCCAACCGUUGCUAGAUUCAGAAUACGUGGACCACGUGCAAAGCUUCCCGUAACGUUAGGCUCCAGACCAAUCAUUCCUCUUGUCAGAAAAUGAUGGCACCAAUUAUUAAAACAUGAUGGCGGUUGCGAGCAAGGGAGAUAAAUUCAUCUACAAUGAAUGACCUGUUGUAAUAAAGUUUUGCAAAGCUUUCAGGUCUGCCGAAUGAAAGAGAGGUCUAUCGGGAAGAUCCAUUUAUCUUCUGUGAAAAGUCUUGUGCCACUGAACGAGGCAGAAAAUAGCCUCGAGAGCCCCCACCGGAAAAACGAGACCCUUCGUGAACGUAAUUCCCAUUCCUGUCAUAGGACGUGAUGCUAAACUGCCAACAGCUGGCAUGGGAAACUUUGCAGAAGGUACAAUGCCUGCUGGGUAAAUCCAAGCACAACAGGACCAAGUUCUUAGCAUUUUACAUUUUAAAUAACACCCACUAACGUUUGCCGACACGUGAGAUUUUCUAGCUAGGCUCUUUAAGGAAGGCAACUACAAUGUGAGUAACGAGAUUUGUCCUCUCACUUUGAGCAGCUCGUCAGAUGUGAAGUUUUAACAUGCUCACCGGGUCGGGAAGAUUUCCACUGUACGUUUCAUUGUUUGCCUGCCCCCCCCCACCCCCUCCCUUAAAGUUGCUAGGUUCUGCUGCAAAGAUUUUCGGGGCCGUUUUGUUGGCAGCUUAGGACGCAUCCGUGACCUUACCAAAGUGGAAGUGAAAGCUCUCAGUAUUUCUUCUUUCUUUCUUUCUUUCUUUCUUUUUUGCAACAGUAAAUCUAUUAAUUUUACAGUCAGUUGAACAGCAAUAGGUUAAUUUGUUUAAAGUCUGCGUUCACAAAGAAAACCUGAACCGCAGUGGCUUGAAUGCCUGAAACUGCAGCGGAGUGGCUGCAGGGUAGACACUCUUACAGCGCGCUCGGGACGGACGCCGGCGGUCCACUGUCACCUGCUUCUCCGCACAGGUGCUGACCCCUCGGUUGAGCCGGGGCCUCCUGGCGGGGUAGCGGGAAGGCUGGGCCUUUUGUGUGCUACAGAGAACGCUUUUCCAAGGACUGGGCCCGUUGUCUCCAGCAGCCUGAGGAAGCAGAAGAAAGAAGAGGUUAAGGGCCACCGCGAGGGUCAGGAUGGGUUAAAUUUAGUUAACAUCGGAGGUUAUAGCUUUUAACAAGAGCUUCAAGCAAACUUAUUCGAAGAUGCAAUUUGUCUCCUCUUUGUCAACGGUUAUUAUUUUUUUUUUUUUUUGCCCUAUUGAUAGUGACAGCCUAACAAAGUUUUUAUAUGCUGGAGGUUUUCAUCCUUUAUAGAGAAGAAAGGACUGUGUUCCUAAAGAGAGGUGCAGGUGGGGGACUUUAUAAAGCUUCCGUGAUUUUCAAAUUGGGAGGCUUUAGAAUAGGCUCCCUGCUUGGCUAAGUCAAAAAUAAUCUGUGAGGGAUGUUGAAAAAAAAAAUCCCCAUUAGAAAUGGAGGAAUGCUUCAGCAGUCAGAUGCAGGGGCUCAAGUUUCUAGAAGCUUCUUUGUGUGUGUUUACUUUCAACCAUCCCAGCCUAGUUUUCCCAGUUGUUUUUUUCAAAGUUACCAAAGAGGCCCCCUCUUAAGUUUCCACGUGUGUGUUUCUUUCCAUUUCGAGCAUAACACCAGGCAUCACUAGUUGUGUGUUAUUUCUCCGUGCAAGCAAAGGAGGUAGCCAUAGUUUUCUGCAUAUGUCCUUCAUGCCGUUUUCAUUCUAGCACUCCAUAUUUUCUCUCCACGGACUGAAAUCUUUCGGAAAUCGGUCUUUGGGAAGAGAGUCCUGUCAACUCUAGCCUUUCAAUUGGAAACACACACCUUUCAAAAGGUAUGAUUUACCUAGAACUGAUGUUGAGGGUCUUGUGACACGUGAAGGCUUCAGGUAUUAUUUAACUGCAUUUCUACGAUAAGAGGCUCGACUUCUUUUUGGUGAGUUUUGUACAUUCACGGGGCUGAGGUUUUAGAAUACCGAACCUGGGUUGCCAGAGCCACAGUUUUGCUCUGAUGGUCGGAAGGGUAAGUGUAAUCAAACAAUCUAAGUGAUGUACUGUAAUAUGCAUUUGACAACAUGUUUGCCUUAGGUACAGUGAGGACUCAUUUAAUUAUUAUUCGGGAAAUACUAUGUUUUGCAUGAGAGAAUCUUCCAGGUACCUAAGCAUACCUUCCAGAAACACACAGAACUUCUAACCACUUUGAAUAAAAGUGUCUUAUAUAACGUA